rnacentral:rRNA from 1 species
GAUGAACGCUGGCGGCGUGCCUAAUACAUGCAAGUCGAGCGAACAGAUAAGGAGCUUGCUCCUUUGACGUUAGCGGCGGACGGGUGAGUAACACGUGGGUAACCUACCUAUAAGACUGGGAUAACUUCGGGAAACCGGAGCUAAUACCGGAUAACAUUUGGAACCGCAUGGUUCUAAAGUGAAAGAUGGUUUUGCUAUCACUUAUAGAUGGACCCGCGCCGUAUUAGCUAGUUGGUAAGGUAACGGCUUACCAAGGCGACGAUACGUAGCCGACCUGAGAGGGUGAUCGGCCACACUGGAACUGAGACACGGUCCAGACUCCUACGGGAGGCAGCAGUAGGGAAUCUUCCGCAAUGGGCGAAAGCCUGACGGAGCAACGCCGCGUGAGUGAUGAAGGGUUUCGGCUCGUAAAACUCUGUUAUUAGGGAAGAACAAACGUGUAAGUAACUGUGCACGUCUUGACGGUACCUAAUCAGAAAGCCACGGCUAACUACGUGCCAUCAGCCGCGGUAAUACGUAGGUGGCAAGCGUUAUCCGGAAUUAUUGGGCGUAGCGCGCGUAGGCGGUUUCUUAAGUCUGAUGUGAAAGCCCACGGCUCAACCGUGGAGGGUCAUUGGAAACUGGGAAACUUGAGUGCAGAAGAGGAAAGUGGAAUUCCAUGUGUAGCGGUGAAAUGCGCAGAGAUAUGGAGGAACACCAGUGGCGAAGGCGACUUUCUGGUCUGUAACUGACGCUGAUGUGCGAAAGCGUGGGGAUCAAACAGGAUUAGAUACCCUGGUAGUCCACGCCGUAAACGAUGAGUGCUAAGUGUUAGGGGGUUUCCGCCCCUUAGUGCUGCAGCUAACGCAUUAAGCACUCCGCCUGGGGAGUACGACCGCAAGGUUGAAACUCAAAGGAAUUGACGGGGACCCGCACAAGCGGUGGAGCAUGUGGUUUAAUUCGAAGCAACGCGAAGAACCUUACCAAAUCUUGACAUCCUUUGAAAACUCUAGAGAUAGAGCCUUCCCCUUCGGGGGACAAAGUGACAGGUGGUGCAUGGUUGUCGUCAGCUCGUGUCGUGAGAUGUUGGGUUAAGUCCCGCAACGAGCGCAACCCUUAAGCUUAGUUGCCAUCAUUAAGUUGGGCACUCUAGGUUGACUGCCGGUGACAAACCGGAGGAAGAUGGGGAUGACGUCAAAUCAUCAUGCCCCUUAUGAUUUGGGCUACACACGUGCUACAAUGGACAAUACAAAGGGCAGCUAAACCGCGAGGUCAUGCAAAUCCCAUAAAGUUGUUCUCAGUUCGGAUUGUAGUCUGCAACUCGACUACAUGAAGCUGGAAUCGCUAGUAAUCGUAGAUCAGCAUGCUACGGUGAAUACGUUCCCGGGUCU